AAGUCUAGUCAUUAUCCCAGGGUGCAAGCUUUUUCUGAGAUAUUUUCUUCCUUUCAAGGGGUUCAAAGGCAUCCAGGGUUCUGCAGAGUGUGAAGAAACUGCACAACACAAUUCCUCUCAACGAUCUCAACAGUUCAACUAGACCUCAACAUUAAGCCCUCUCAGGAGCCUCUCAGGAGCCAGGCCAGGAAUGAGUCAGCCUCAUUGCUAACCCACCAAGCCAGCGGAGAGCCGCAGGGUGUGCUGCUUUUUGUUUUUGCCUUAAUAUCCACAAUCAAUCCAUGUUCUGCUUCAGACCUAAGGAACCAGGACUGGUCAUGCUCUGGACUCCUCCGUUUGAAUCCCCCAGCUCUACAAGGAGAACACUUUGCUUCGCCUCUCCACUGCCCGAGGACAGCAAGCACCCAGUCUGGCUGCAUCACCCCGAGGCGAAAAGCCUCUUUCCUGUGAGCCUCUGAAACAAUGCCGAUCUCUCCGCCGUCACCAUAGGAACAGGCUCCACCCCCAGCAGCCCCUGCUUUCAGCCAGCCACGCUCACCGAGGACAGGGGCACUUCUUCUGUCUUUCUGCUCACUUCUCUUCAAGUGUUAUCCAUAAUUUAGAGGUGAAACCCUGUUUUACACUGUACGAUUAGAAGAAAAACACUCAAUUCUGUAACGCGUGUGAACGUCUUUCCCUUUUAGUACUUACUGUAGUUCUUAAGUGUGCUUUUGUGCGCUAUCCAAGAUUUUUAUAGUUAACUAUCACACUGAAAAUAUAAUUUACACAACUCUC